GACGAACGCUGGCGGCGUGCUUAACACAUGCAAGUCGAACGGUAAGGCCCUUCGGGGUACACGAGUGGCGAACGGGUGAGUAACACGUGGGUGAUCUGCCCUGCACUUCGGGAUAAGCCUGGGAAACUGGGUCUAAUACCGGAUAGGACUCCGGACUGCAUGGUCUGGGGUGGAAAGCUUUUGCGGUGUGGGAUGGGCCCGCGGCCUGUCAGCUUGUUGGUGGGGUAAUGGCCUACCAAGGCGACGACGGGUAGCCGGCCUGAGAGGGUGACCGGUCACACUGGGACUGAGAUACGGCCCAGACUCCUACGGGAGGCAGCAGUGGGGAAUAUUGCACAAUGGGCGCAAGCCUGAUGCAGCGACGCCGCGUGAGGGAUGACGGCCUUCGGGUUGUAAACCUCUUUCAGCUAUGACGAAGCGCAAGUGACGGUAGUAGCAGAAGAAGGACCGGCCAACUACGUGCCAGCCGCCGCGGUAA
rnacentral:rRNA from 1 species